AUACGAAGGGGGCUAGCGUUGUUCGGAAUCACUGGGCGUAAAGCGCACGUAGGUGGACUAAUUAGUUGAGGGUGAAAUCCCGGGGCUCAACCUCGGAACUGCCUUCAAUACUGUUAGUCUUGAGUCCGAGAGAGGUGAGUGGAAUUCCUAGUGUAGAGGUGAAAUUCGUAGAUAUUAGGAAGAACACCAGUGGCGAAGGCGGCUCACUAGCUCGGUACUGACGCUGAGGUGCGAAGGCGUGGGGAGCAAACAGGAUUAGAUACCCUAGUAGUCC
rnacentral:rRNA from 1 species